rnacentral:tRNA from 1 species
GUUGUGAUCAUUUAGUGGUGAGGACCCCACAUUGAGGCCGUGGUAACCCAGGUUUGAAUCUUGGUCACGGCA